rnacentral:lncRNA from 1 species
UGGGGGUCUAUAAUCAGAAGUAGAAAGCCUGGAUCAUAUGGUAAUUUUAUGAUCUUGCAAUGUUGUCCAGGCUGGAAUAUAGUGGCUAUUCACAGGUGCAAUUAUCACCCACUCCUCAAACUCCUGGGCUCAAAGGAUCCUCCUGCCUCAGCCUCCCUAUUAGCCCAGACUCUACAGGCACAUGGCACUGGGCCGGGCGUCCUUGUGGUUUUGAUUUGCAUUUCCCUAAUAAUUAGUGAUGUUAAGCAUCUUUUCAUGUGUUUAUUGGCCAUUUGUAUAUCUCCUUUGAAGAAAUGCCUAUUCAAGUCCUUUGCCUGACUUUAAAAAUUGGGUUGUUUGGUUUUUUGUUGUUGAAGUAUAUUUCUUCUUUAUAUAUUCUAGAUAUCAAUGACUUAUCAGAGCUAUGAUUAGCUAGCACAUAUUUUCUCCCUUCUCUGGGUUGCCUUUAUAAUCUGUUCAUAGUGUCCUUUGAUGUACAAGUUUUUAAUUUUGAUGGAAUCUAAUUUAUCUUUUUUCUUUUGUUGCCUAUCCUUUUGGAGUUAUAGCUAAUAAAUCAUUGCUAAAAUAAUGCCACAAAACUUUUCCCCUAUGUUUUCAUCUGAGUUUUAUAGUUUUAGUUCUUAUAUGUAGGUCUGUAAUCCAUUUUGAUUUGCUUUUUGUAUAUGGUGUAAGGUAAGGGUCCAAAUUCUUUUUUUUUUCUUUUUGCAUGUGAAUAUCCAAUUUUCCCAACAUCAUUUGUUGAAAAAGACUAUCCUUUCCUUACUGAAUGGUCUUGACACUCCUGUCAAAAAUCAUUUGACCAUAUUUUUGAAGGUUUAUUUCUGAAUCCACUGAUCCAUAUGUCCUUCUUUAUGCCAGAACCACAGUAUUUUGAUUAUUAUAGCUUUGUAGUAAGUUUUGAAGCUGGAAAGUGUAAGAAGUCCAACUUUGUUCUUCUUUUUCAAGAUUGUUUUGGCGAUUUGGGUCCCUGGAGAUUCCUUAUGAAUCUUUUUUUUUUUUUUUUUGAGACGAAGUUUCCAUCUUGUUGCCCAGGCUGCAGUGCAAUGGCACAAUCUCGGCUCACUGCAACUUCCGGCUCCUGGGUUCAAGUGAUUCUGCUGCCCCAGCCUCCAGAGUAGCUGAGAUUACAGAUAUGCACCACCACGCCCGGCUAAUUUUGUAUUUUUGGUAGAGACGGGGUUCUUCCAUAUUGGUCAGGCUGGUUUUGAACCCCCAACCUCAGGUGAUCAGCCCGCCUCGGCCUCCCAAAGUGCUGAGAUUACAGGCAUGAACCACCGCGCCCGGCCUCCUUAUGAAUCUUAGGAUGUAUUUUCCUAUUUCUGCAAGAAAUGUUUUUAGAUUUUUUUUUUUUUUUUUGAGAGCUGCUGGGGUUCUCACUGUGUUGCCCAGGCUGGUAUUGAACUCCUGGCCUCAAGCAAUCCUCCUUCUUCAGCCUCCCAAAGUGUUGGGAUCACAGGGGUGAGCCACCAUGCCCAGCCAUUGUUAGGAUUUUGACAGGGAUCACAUUGAAUCUGUAGUUCACUGUGAGUAAUAUUAACAUCUUAAAUAAGAAAACUUUUUGGCUGGGCGUGGUGGCUCACGCCUGUAACCCCAGCACUUUGGGAGGCCAAGGCAGGUGGAUCAUUUGAGGUCAGGAGAUCCAGACCAGCCUGGCCAACAUGGUGAAACUCUGUCUCUACUAAAAAAUACAAAAAUUAGCUGGGCAUAGUGGUUUGUGCCUGUAAUCCCAGCUACUCAGGAGGCUGAGGCAGGAGAAUCGCUUGAACCCAGGAGACGGAGGUUGCAGUGAGCCAAGAUUGCACCAUUGCACUGCAGCCUGGAGGACAGAGUGAGACUCUGUCUCAGAAAAGAAAAAAAAAAGAAAACUUUUUGAUGAUGAAAAAGUUCUGUAUCUUAUGAUGAUAGUUACAUAACUACAUGCAUUUUUCAAAGUUCAAGGCUGGGCAUGCUAGCUUACACCUAUAGUUCCAGAUGGGAGGCUGAGGAAGGAGGAUCACUUGCAACCAGGAAUUCAAGAGUGGCCUGAGCAAUGCAGUGAGACCCUGAUCUCUACAAAAAACAAAAACAAAAACAAAAGCAACAAAAAAAAAACAAUUAGCCGGGCAUGGUGGCACAUGCCUAUAGUCCUAGAUACUCAGGAGGCUGAGGUGGGAAGAUCACUUGAGCCCAGGAGUUCAAGGCUGCAAUGAAUUAUGAUCAUGCCCCCGCACUCCAGCCUGAGUGACACAGUGAGACACUCUCUCUAAAAAAAAAAGAAAAAAAAAAAAAGUUGGGGGCGGUGGCUCAUGCCUGUAGC